AGCUGAAACUUAAAGGAAUUGACGGAAGCGCACACAAGAAAUGGGGCCUGCGGCUUAAUUUGACUCAACACGGUGCAACUCACUCGACCCGGACACAGGAAGGAUUGACAGAUUAAGAGCUCUUUCUUGAUUCUGUGACAGGUGGUGCAUGGCCGUAUGUAGUUGGUGGAGUGAUUUGUCUGCUUUAUUGCGAUAACGAGCGAGACUCUAGCCUACUAAAUAGACCGCCGAUCUCGUUACAGUCUGGCGGUUCUUCUUAGAGGGACAAGCGGUGUUCAGCCGCACGAAACUGAGCAAAUACAGGUCAGGAUGCCCUUAGAUGUUCGGGGCCGCACGCGCGCCACAUUGAAGGAAUCAGCGUGUGCUUUCCCUCUCCGGUAGGAGUGGGUAACCCGUUGAAACUCCUUCGUGCUAGGGAUAGGAAAUUGUAAUUGUUUUCCUUGAACGAGGAAUUCCCAGUAAGCAUUGAGUCAUCAGCUCGUGUUGAUUACGUCCCUGCGCUUUGUGCACACCGCCCGUCGCUAUUAUCGAUGAAUUUUGGAGUGAGAUCAUCGGACUGACUAAGUUUCUUGGCCCUCGUGGUUUGGAGACUGUGUCGGAAAGAUGACCGAACUUGAAUAUUAGAG
rnacentral:rRNA from 1 species